rnacentral:rRNA from 1 species
CCUACGGGGGGCAGCAGUGAGGAAUAUUGGACAAUGGACGAGAGUCUGAACCAGCCAAGUAGCGUGAAGGAUGACUGCCCUAUGGGUUGUAAACUUCUUUUAUAUGGGAAUAAAACGUUCCACGUGUGGGAUUUUGUAUGUACCAUAUGAAUAAGGAUCGGCCAACUCCGUGCCAGCAGCCGCGGUAAUACGGAGGAUCCGAGCGUUAUCCGGAUUUAUUGGGUUUAAAGGGAGCGUAGGUGGAUUGUUCAGUCAGUUGUGAAAGUUUGCGGCUCAACCGUAAAAUUGCAGUUGAAACUGGCAGUCUUGAGUACAGUAGAGGUGGGCGGAAGUCGUGGUGUAGCGGUGAAAUGCUUAGAUAUCACGAAGAACUCCGAUUGCGAAGGCAGUUCACUGGACUGCAACUGACACUGAGGCUCGAAAGUGUGGGUAUCAAACAGGAUUAGAUACCCUGGUAGUC